CCCCACUGCUAUCGGGAUGGGACUAAGACAUGCUAGUCGUGCGUCUCCAAGCCAUGGCGGAGACGCGGCGCACAGCUCAGUAACACGUGGCUAACCUGCCCUUAGGACAGGGACAACCCCGGGAAACUGGGGCUAAUCCCUGAUAAGUGAGGAGGCCUGGAAUGGUUCUUCGCUGAAAAGGCGUUGAAACCAUGCUUUUCAGCGUCGCCUAAGGAUGGGGCCGCGCCCGAUCAGGUUGUUGGUGGGGUAACGGCUCACCAAGCCUAUAACCGGUACGGGCCGUGAGAGCGGGAGCCCGGAGAUGGGCACUGAGACAAGGGCCCAGGCCCUACGGGGCGCAGCAGUCGCGAAAACUCCGCAAUGCGCGAAAGCGUGACGGGGCUACCCCGAGUGCCAUCCGCUGAGGAUGGCUUUUCCCCGGUGUAAUGAGCCGGGGGAAUAAGGAGAGGGCAAGUCUGGUGUCAGCCGCCGCGGUAAUACCAGCUCUCCGAGUGGUAGGGACGAUUAUUGGGCUUAAAGCGUCCGUAGCCGGCUUAGCAAGUCUCCUGUUAAAUUCAGCGACCUAAUCGUUGAGCCGCGGGAGAUACUACUAGGCUAGGAGGCGAGAGAGGCCGACGGUAUUCUCGGGGUAGGGGUGAAAUCCUAUAAUCCCGGGAGGACCACCAGUGGCGAAGGCUGUCGGCUAGAACGCGCUCGACGGUGAGGGACGAAAGCUGGGGGAGCGAACCGGAUUAGAUACCCGGGUAGUCCCAGCUGUAAACGAUGCGGGCUAGGUGUUGGGGUGGCUACGAGCCACUUCAGUGCCGCAGGGAAGCCAUUAAGCCCGCCGCCUGGGGAGUACGGCCGCAAGGCUGAAACUUAAAGGAAUUGGCGGGGGAGCACCACAAGGCGUGAAGCUUGCGGUUC
rnacentral:rRNA from 1 species